AAUAUUAUACUUCAAAGGAUCAAUUCUAUAGUAUAUAUUCAUUGAACAUCAGCCAAACGGUUGAAUACGUACAGCCACGAUGACGAGUCGUGGCACCCUUUCCUGAGCGUGAGGAGGACUCGAGGAAUUGACUUUGUUUCAAUUCUUCGGUCAUCGAUGAUCGUUCACCCCAUGUACCCAGUACAUGGGGGAUGGGAAGGGUGCUUUCUGAGUGGU